GACGAACGCUGGCGGCGUGCUUAACACAUGCAAGUCGAGCGGUAAGGCCCUUUCGGGGGUACACGAGCGGCGAACGGGUGAGUAACACGUGGGUGACCUGCCCUCAGCUCUGGGAUAAGCCUGGGAAACCGGGUCUAAUACCGGAUAUGACUCCAUGACGCAUGUUGUGGGGUGGAAAGCCUUGUGCGGCUGAGGAUGGGCCCGCGGCCUAUCAGCUUGUUGGUGGGGAUGGCCUACCAAGGCGACGACGGGUAGCCGGCCUGAGAGGGCGACCGGCCACACUGGGACUGAGACACGGCCCAGACUCCUACGGGAGGCAGCAGUGGGGAAUCUUGCGCAAUGGGCGAAAGCCUGACGCAGCGACGCCGCGUGAGGGAUGACGGCCU
rnacentral:rRNA from 1 species